rnacentral:rRNA from 1 species
UACGUAGGUGGCGAGCGUUGUCCGGAUUUACUGGGCGUAAAGAGCGCGCAGGCGGCUGGUCAAGUCCGAUGUGAAAUCUCCCGGCUCAACUGGGAGGGUGCGCCGAAUACUGAGUGACUCGAGUGCGGGAGAGGAAAGUGGAAUUCCAGGUGUAGCGGUGAAAUGCGUAGAUAUCUGGAGGAACACCGAUGGCGAAGGCAGCCCCCCUGGGCUAACACUGACGCUGAUGCACGAAAGCGUGGGGAGCAAACAGG